ACCAAGGAGUCUAACAUGUGCGCGAGCCGCGGGGCAGUACGAAACCCGUAAGGCGAAAUGAAGGUGAACGCCGGCGCGGUCCGGCGGAGGUUGGAUCCCGUCCCGUCGGGGCGGGCGCACUACCGGCCGAUCUUCUCCGCCCUGUCGGCGAGGUCGAGCGAGAGCGUGCAAGUCGGGACCCGAAAGAUGGUGAACUAUGCCUGAGGAGGUUGAAGCCAGAGGAAACUC
rnacentral:ncRNA from 1 species